GACGAACGCUGGCGGCGUGCUUAACACAUGCAAGUCGAACGAUGAAGAAAAGAAUCGAAGCUUCGGCAGAAAUUCAUUUCGGAUUAGUGGCAGACGGGUGAGUAACGCGUGAGCAACCUACCUCUUACAAAGGGAUAGCCUCGGGAAACCGGGAUUAAUACCAUAUAACAUUGCGACGAAGCAUUUCGAUGCAAUCAAAGCUACGGCGGUAAGAGAUGGGCUCGCGUCCCAUUAACCGGAUGGUGAGGUAACGGCUCACCAUAGUGACGAUGGGUAACCGGCCUGAGAGGGUGAACGGUCACACUGGAACUGAGACACGUUCCAGACUCCUACGGGAGGCAGCAGUGGGGAAUAUUGCACAAUGGAGGGAACUCUGAUGCAGCGACGCCGCGUGAGUGAUGAAGGAAUUCGUUUCGUAAAACUCUGUUCUAUGGGAAGAAAAGGACUGUACCAUAGGAGAAAGCUCCGGCUAAAUACGUG
rnacentral:rRNA from 1 species